CAGCCGCCGCGGUAAUACCGGCGGCCCGAGUGGCGGCUACUAUUAUUGGGCCUAAAGCGUCCGUAGCCGGGCUGGUAAGUCCUCCGGGAAAUCUGGUCGCUUAACGAUCAGACUUCCGGAGGAUACUGCUGGCCUAGGGACCGGGAGAGGCCGAGGGUAUUCCCGGGGUAGGGGGGAAAUCCUGGAAUCCCGGGAGGACCACCUGGGGCGAAGGCGCUCGGCGGGAACGGGCCCGACGGUGAGGGACGAAGGCCAGGGGAGCGAACCGGAUUAGAUACCCGGGUAGUCCUGGCUGUAAACGAUGCGGACUAGGUGUCGGGCAAGCUAAGGGCUUGUCCGGUGCCGCAGGGAAGCCGUUAAGUCCGCCGCCUGGGGAGUACGGCCGCAAGGCUGAAACUUAAAGGAAUUGGCGGG
rnacentral:rRNA from 1 species